rnacentral:rRNA from 1 species
UACGGGAGGCAGCAGUGGGGAAUAUUGCACAAUGGGCGCAAGCCUGAUGCAGCCAUGCCGCGUGUAUGAAGAAGGCCUUCGGGUUGUAAAGUACUUUCAGCGGGGAGGAAGGUGUUGUGGUUAAUAACCACAGCAAUUGACGUACCCGCAGAGAGCCCAUCCCGC